rnacentral:rRNA from 1 species
UACGGAGGGUGCGAGCGUUGUCCGGAAUCACUGGGCGUAAAGGGCGCGUAGGCGGCCUGAUAAGUAGGGGGUGAAAUCCUGCGGCUUAACCGCAGGGCUGCCUUCUAAACUGUCAGGCUCGAGCACAGUAGGGGCAGGUGGAAUUCCCGGUGUAGCGGUGGAAUGCGUAGAGAUCGGGAGGAACACCAGUGGCGAAGGCGAUCUUCUGGACGGAUACUGACGCUGAGGCGCGAAAGCUAGGGGAGCAAACGGG